rnacentral:rRNA from 1 species
CCGCAGCUCAAGUGGUAGCCGCUAUUAUUGGGCCUAAAACGUUCGUAGCCGGUUUAGUAAAUGCUUGGGUAAAUUGUGUCGCUUAACGAUACGAAUACCGGGUAGACUGCUAAACUUGGGACCGGGAGAGGCUAGAGGUACUCCUGGGGUAGAGGUGAAAUUCUGUAAUCCUGGGGGGACCACCAGUGGCGAAGGCGUCUAGCUAGAACGGGUCUGACGGUGAGGAACGAAGCCCUGGGGCGCAAACCGGAUUAGAGACCCGAGUAGUCC